rnacentral:rRNA from 1 species
UCCAGACUCCUACGGGAGGCAGCAGUGGGGAAUAUUGCACAAUGGGGGGAACCCUGAUGCAGCGACGCCGCGUGGGUGAAGGAGCGUUUCGGCGCGUAAAGCCCUAUCGGCAGGGAAGAAGGAGGACGGUACCUGACUAAGAAGCCCCGGCUAACUACGUGCCAGCAGCCGCGGUAAUACGUAGGGGGCAAGCGUUAUCCGGAUUUACUGGGUGUAAAGGGGGCGCAGACGGCAGCGCAAGCCAGGAGUGAAAGCCCGGGGCCCAACCCCGGGACUGCUCUUGGAACUGCGCGGCUGGAGUGCAGGAGGGGCAGGCGGAAUUCCUGGUGUAGCGGUGAAAUGCGUAGAUAUCAGGAGGAACACCGGUGGCGAAGGCGGCCUGCUGGACUGCGAUUGACGUUGAGGCCCGAAAGCGUGGGGAGCAAACAGGAUUAGAUACCCUAGUAU